GAAUGAAGGAAGCAAGGUAAUGAUCACAAAAACUGAAUCAGGUCUCGAGGCAUGCCCUUUGAUGUCUUUCAGCUUUGAUUUGGGGGCAUGAUUCAAUGGCAAAACG